GGCUCAGAUUGAACGCUGGCGGCAUGCUUUACACAUGCAAGUCGAACGGUAACAGGCCUUCGGGCGCUGACGAGUGGCGAACGGGUGAGUAAUGCAUCGGAACGUGCCCAGUAGCGGGGGAUAACUACUCGAAAGAGUAGCUAAUACCGCAUACGCCCUACGGGGAAAGGGGGGGAUCGCAAGACCUUGCGCUAUACGAGCGGCCGAUGUCAGAUUAGCUAGUUGGUAGGGUAAAGGCCUACCAAGGCGACGAUCUGUAGCGGGUCUGAGAGGAUGAUCCGCCACACUGGGACUGAGACACGGCCCAGACUCCUACGGGAGGCAGCAGUGGGGAAUUUUGGACAAUGGGCGAAAGCCUGAUCCAGCCAUGCCGCGUGAGUGAAGAAGGCCUUCGGGUUGUAAAGCUCUUUCGGCUGGGAAGAAAUCGCACAGGCUAAUACUCUGUGUGGAUGACGGUACCAGCACAAGAAGCACCGGCUAACUACGUG
rnacentral:rRNA from 1 species